UUGAAACCAAUAAAAGCGUUGCCACCUAAUCGAUCUGGCCAUCCCGCAUGAAAAGGUUAUAUGAACCGGUGAUGUUCGUCUAGCUGGACUGCUCUAUUUCGACCGCCGUUUUGCAACACCGCCAACAGACACACACACUAUUCGUCUUGCUUGCACGCCCGGUUUGCCAAAGGGACAGUCAUUCACUGCGGUCAGCUAAAGUACUAUUAUCUCACUUGCACGCGCGUUCAAAAGGCCCCGCAUUGAUUGGGAAAAAAUAAUCAUCGCCGUAGUCUUCGUCGGGUCGCCGUUUUUACUCGCAGUGCGCUGGUGCUGCUUUAUUUCGAGACAAGGGACACAAUCGAGAGAGCCAUAUUUAAGCAUCAAAGUUCUUGAGGCGCAACGCAGCUUUUGUGUUUCGUUUUCGUUCAAUUCUAAGCGAGCAGGAGAUAUAUUGAAAGAAAAAUUCCCAAUUCUGUGCAAAGAACAAAAGAAAUACGCGAGACACCAACACCAGCAAACAACCAUCCAACCAAACACACACACACACAACCCAGAAAAUCAAAUUUCAAUCAGAAAAUGGCGUUAAAAAGAAUCAAUAAGGAACUGCAAGAUCUGGGCAGAGAUCCACCUGCACAAUGUUCAGCCGGUCCAGUUGGAGAUGAUUGUAAGUAUGGUUAAUGUUAUUCACCA